GGGUGACGUGAUGGCAUACCAUCUUUCGGGACUGACUCUUCGUGUUGAGAGCUCUUGACACACUGAUCACUC
ensembl:snoRNA